UGCCCAGACUCCUACGGGAGGCAGCAGUGAGGAAUAUUGGUCAAUGGGCUUACGCCUGAACCAGCCAAGUCGCGUGAGGGAAGACUGCCCUAUGGGUUGUAAACCUCUUUUGUCAGGGAGCAACGCCGGCUACGUGUAGCCGGACUGAGAAUACCUGAAGAAAAAGCAUCGGCUAACUACGUGCCAGCAGCCGCGGUAAUACGUAGGGGGCAAGCGUUAUCCGGAUUUACUGGGUGUAAAGGGAGCGUAGACGGAAUUGCAAGUCUGAUGUGAAAAUCCGGGGCCCAACCCCGGAACUGCAUUGGAAACUGUAUUUCUAGAGUGUCGGAGAGGCAAGUGGAAUUCCUGGUGUAGCGGUGAAAUGCGUAGAUAUCAGGAGGAACACCAGUGGCGAAGGCGGCUUGCUGGACGAUGACUGACGUUGAGGCUCGAAAGCGUGGGGAGCAAACAGGAUUAGAUACCCUGGUAGGG
rnacentral:rRNA from 1 species